AAGCUCAGAUGGGGACACAAACUGUGGUUUUCUGGAUGACACAGCUGUAAACCCAGACGGUGUUGGAGAUCCUCUGAAACAAAGACGUGUAAGUUUGUCUUUACGUCGAGACAGCAGGAAAUCACACCAAGAGACAGUUCUACAUCUUCAGAAAUACAAGCAAAGGAGUGCGGAGUCGGGAAAUGGGAAUUCAACAAAACUGAACCAGUCGUCAUUUCAAAGCAAAUAAACAAACACCAAACCAUCACAAAUGGGUAAUCAAUUACCAAAGGAGAGUAACAUGGGAAGCCGCCUGAGAUGCUGCAAAUGUUUUAAAGUCUUGCCUCCAUGCAAAUCAUUUGAAGACUUAUACCAAAGUACUAUUUAUGGGCGACACAUGCAUGUGUUCAAUGGAGGUGAAUACUACAGACCAGUUGGUGACAAUGAAUUGUAUGAAUGUGAAUAUUGCUUUAACAAGCCAAUCAGAGAUCAAGAGGAAAUGACAAGAGAAGAGGAGAGGAAGAGAAGAGAGGAGCAGAGGAGAAGAGAAGAGGAAAGGAAGAGAAGGGAGGAGGAGAGGAGAAGAGAAGAGGAGAGAAGAAGAGAGGAGGAGAAGAGAAGAGAAGAGGAAAGGAAGAGAAUAGAGGAGGAGAAGAGAAGAGAAGAGGAGCAACAGAAAGAAAAACUGAAUCAAAGACUAAAAGAAUCUCACCAACAAGCUAAAGAGCAGCUUGAGAAACAACAGAGUGGCCACAUCUCAGAUGAAUGUGAGUCUAAGCGAGAUGUUCUAAUAGAGCAUCUGGAUGAGUUUGAAGCUAUCUAUGAAUCAGGUAGUGACAGCGAUGAGCUUCUUGAAAUCCUCUCAGUGAAAUGCAGUCUUCCACAUUCAAAUAUCAGUCUGAGUCAGCUCACAGCUGAUCAGCUCAGUGAGAUCCUUUCAGUCCUGGACAAACUUCUGUUUGAUGAGUGGAUUCGUGCUGCUCCAUCCAUCAGCACUCUGCAGCACACUCAGGUGUUCAUCACAGAGCUCUGUGCUCUGUGUCUGGAAAUAUCUGAAGGAGUUUCCCUACAAACCAUCUGCAAUCAUAUGCAGUCCUAUUUGGGAUCCAUCAGCCAAUCAGCAUGUGGUGUUUUUGAGAGUUUCCUCUUGACUCAAGCCCUGUAUCUGAACCUGAUGCACUUUUUCCGUGACGAUAGCAGAUUUAAUAAUGAUGCUGUCCUCAUAGCCAAACAAUGGGCAGAAUAUGAGAUUUCCACUGAGAACCUCUUUAUAAUUGAAUUCCUGAGCACCCUCACAUCAUCACUGCAAAGUGCAGUUGGAAGAGCCUCUGUGUUCACUUUAAAGAUGGAAAUCCAAUGUUUAAAGCUUCUCUUAUCCACACUCACAGAUCUAAAUGGAAAAGAAGCCCACUCAGAAUCCACUGAAAUGCUCCUCAAACUUGUACAAAGAAACCAAUGGACUCCAAUGGAAGCAGUCACACUGCUUAAAGCACUGUCACAGAAAUAUGCAGAUGAUGAUUCCAUAACUGAAAUCCUUACCUUGGUACAAGUGUAUGACAUACCACCAGACUGGAUAGAUGACUGUGGGCGCUCUCUAAUCCAGCUCCUUGAAUCUGCUGCUCCUGAGAGAUUUUGUCAGGAUUUCCAAAAGACUCUAAGAGGAAACGAUGAGAGCAGUGUAACUGCAGUUUUAGCAGAAGUAAAGAUGUUGUGGAAUUUGAAUGACUCUGCCAUUGAUAUGAUAAAAAACAUUAACACUGGUGUCCUGAAAUAUACAGAAAAUGUACCAAAAGAGGAACUUUUUAUGAAAGAUUCAUUUAAAUGUGAAUCUUUGAAUUCAGACAACAAACAGAAGUGUCUGUGUCAGCUCUGCAAAGCAGUGUUCAACAUAAAAGGCUGGUGGCCCACAGUGAGGCAGGUGGUGCGGUGGUGUGGACUGGUGCUGACUCAGAAAAGUGGAGUGGUACAACUGGUUGGUGUGGAAGAAGACCCAUGUGUUACAGCCAUGUUUGCAGCCAUGCAAGUCUGCAUGGGAAACAAACUGGACAUUGUGCUGAGCUCUGAUGUUCACUCAGAGGAGCAAACAAAGGAGUGGUCUGACUUCUACAAGCACCUUGACAUUUCACUCAACACAAACAUGAAGAAGACUGAUCCAUCAUUCCAGGAUGUCUAUGAAGCUGACAUUGUUUAUGGUACAAUGGAUGAUUUUGUGUCUGAUUACUUUAGACAAGGCAUAGAGACGAUGGAAACAGGGAACCCACAGUUAAAUCGUGGAUUCAUCAUUGAAAAACAAAGUCUCAGUGCUUUGCAUGCUCUGGAACUUUCAAGACUCAAAGACGAUGACUCCCUGGUGUUUGCUGCAGAGGUCCUGCAGAACCUCAUGAGUAAAUUUCACAGUGAAGAUGUGGAACUGAGACAUAUGUUUAUUAAGGCCCUUUUUCAGGUCCUCCAUUGUAACCUAAAAGAAGAUACAAUUACUGACACAAAAAUCAUCACCAUCUCAAAGAAAAUCACAGGGAAGGAAUUGCUUUCUAAUGAGAUCUUUAUUUUGACAUUUCUUGAAAAUCUCUUGCAAGUGUUUGCUAGAGAAACAGAAGCUGUUAAAAACAUGACAGAUCCUGCGGGCAAAUGGUGUUUAGAGAGCUUAUUUGCCUGUGUGGAACAAUUCCAAGACUUAGACAAAGAAACCAAAGAAGUCUUCAAGAUGGUUUCAAAUCUUGGAAAAAAAGCACUUUGGUCACCAGUAGAGGCCUUAAACCUUCUUGGUGCAUUAACUCACAACCACCAUGACAGCGGCUGUAUUUCCAUCUUGAAGAUUUUACAUUUGAUGGAAACAUACCAGGUUUCCUCCAAUUGGACAGAUGAAAACAAUAAAUCUCUCAUUGAGCUCAUACAUUCAUGCACAACUCAGAUUCUGAUCCAGCAUCUAGAAAAGAGCCUCAGAGGUGAGAAAACUAAAAGGAUUGACAACCUUUUUUAUGAAAUACGGCAGAUGAAAGAAAUUGUUGAGCAAACACUGAGUAAAUCAUACAACAUAGUAACUCAUGUAACAAACCUAAUCAAAACUGGUGAAAUUAAAAAACACACAGACAUAGAGCGAGCUAGGACUCUGAGUCACAGCAUGGAGGUUGGGGAUUUACAGGAGAUCCUUGCAGUCUUAUGCAAUGCUGUACACCUCCACAAAGCAGAAAGGAAGUGGUUUCCCAGGACAACUCAGAUGAUAAGCUGGUGCCUGUUGGCCCUGUCUGACACUGGGAAGCUCCUGGAGAUGGGAACUGGAGAAGGGAAGUCUUGUGUCAUAGCGAUGUUUGCAGUGCUGCGUGUGCUUAGAGGUGAAAAGGUGGAUGUAGUGUCCAGCUCCUCUGUGUUAUGUCAAAGAGAUGCUGAAGAAUGGGCCAAAUUUUACAAAUACUUUGGCAUUACAGUCGACACAAACACAAAUAAAAAUGAGGAUAAAGAUCGGAAAGAAUGCUAUCAGAAGGACGUGGUCUAUGGAACCAUUGAAGCCUUUGCUGCUGAUCACCUUCGCCAAAUAUUUGAGAUGAAGGAUGUGAGGGCUGAUCGUAACUUUCAGUGCAUCAUUAUCGAUGAAGUGGACUCACUGCUGCUAGAUCAAGGAGUGCAGCUGACAUACCUGUCCAGCCCCAUGGUGUCCAUGCAGCACCUGAACAUUAUUCCCACCAUGAUCUGGAGCCACGUCAGUCAGUAUGGCUUCCUAUCUACAGGACACCAGACAUUUGUACGAGGUCCUCCUGCUUCAUUCUUCAAGGCUAUCUAUGACUCAAUGAACACAGAAGACACUGAAAUUAAUGAUCCAAUGGACAUUUUAAGUAUUGCUGAAGAAUCCAACAUUGUGUCAAAAGGAUUUACAGAAGAUAUCUCCAAGAGUGAAAAGGAUGAACUUCUCAGUAAACUGAAAACAGUGAGUCAGGAUGCUAUGGUUGACUUUUUCAAAGAAAUUGAGGACUAUGUUCCUUACGGCUUUACUGUUUACACACUAGAUGACAAAGGACUGCUCUGUCUUCAAAAGUGCAGUCCAUACAAUGACCGGGACAUCCCAGAGCUUUCAUUUCUUGUCUUGGAGGAAGGAUUGUGUUGUCCUCUCUAUGAGUCAGAAGAAGUUCUCAUCAAGCCCAUUGCAGAAUUGAUCUCUGAGAGGAUUCAGUACACCCCAUGUGAAAACAAUAAAGAUAAAAUCAGCAUUCCUGGAUUCUUGAAGACUCUGGUGGAGAAGAAAGUCUCAGUGUGGGUUCAGAAUGCCUUUCUGGCAAUGUUACUGAAACAAGGACGAGAAUAUGUUGUAGAAAAUGACAACGUCUGUCCAGUGGACUUCAGAUCCACUGGUAUUGUUGAACUGAAUAAGAAAUGGGGUGAUGGUCUGCAGCAGUUUGUGGAGAUUAAACACCAAGUCAAACUGAGCACAAUUUCAACAGUGACAAACUACAUUUCCAACAUCUCCUUUUUUGAGAAAUACCAGGGAAAAAUAUACGGAACAACAGGAACACUGGGGAGCAAAGCAGACAUUCAGUUUUUGCAGGAUCUAUAUCCAAAUCUCUCUGUGUGCAAAAUACCAACAUUCAACAGAAAGAAGUUAUUUGAGGUCAAAGGUACUCUGAAAAAAACAGCUGAAGAAUGGAAAUCUGAAAUAAAACAUGUGGUCACGGCUCAGAUUUCCCCAAAUUCAUACAGAGAAGGAAGAGCAGCGUUGGUGAUCUGUGAAACUAUCAAUACAGCCAAAGAGAUCUGCGAAGAGCUGAAGAGCAGCAUCCCAAGUAAAAAAGUGAUUCUCUACUGCCGCAGUGACAGAGACAGUUUGAGUAAAAUAGACAAGGAGCUGCUUCCUGGUGAUGUCAUUGUUGCCACAAACCUUGCCGGCCGUGGCACGGACAUUAAAGUGUCCAGAGAGGUGAACAAUAAUGGAGGAUUAUUUGUGAUCCUCUCCUUCCUUUCUGAAAAUACGAGGGUGGAACUCCAGGCAUUUGGACGAACUGCACGCAAAGGUAAACCUGGAUCUGCUCAGAUAAUCAUCUCCACUGAACACCUGCAGCCAUCUUUCCACACAGUGUCCUCUCUGGAGGAAGCCAAGAGCACAAGGGACCGACUUGCAGCAGAAAAGAUAAGUCACAUGAUGAACGAUGUUGCUGAGAUGAAACUGCGGGAGGACCUGUUUUCAGAAUACUGUGAAACACUUCAACAUAUUUAUAACACCACUGAUGGAGACGAGGAAAGAGCUGUUGUUGACAUGAUGAAUGAGUUUUGGGGGAUUUGGCUCCAAACUAAAUCAGAGGAAAUUGAUCAGUUGAAGAGAAAUGAACUGCAAGAGAGUCUGAAAGCUGAUUUGUCAAAGGCAAAAAGUCAGUCUGAAAGUAAGACUUCACCAUGUUCCAGCAUUUAUCACUACAUCAAGUUUGGAAAUAUUGCACUGGAUGAAAAACAGUGGGAUGCUGCAGCCAUAAUGUUUGAAAAAGCCAUGAAACAAGAUAAAAGCUGGGCAGCUGUAGCUUUUUACAAUCAUGCAUACUGCACUAUACAACAAAAGAAAGCAGAUUACCUCACUAAGGCCAUAGAUGAUCUAAUGAAGGCACAGGAAUCUCUGAAGUUUCUCAAUGAGGAACUAAUAGUCUGUCUUCAGUUUGUAAAAAUGUCCUCUGCAGACUCAGCCAACAGCAACCCAACCAGCCUGGAAAAACAGUUAUCAACCAGGUCUACAAUGUAUAGUUACUUUGAUAAAAACAUUACUGAGGCCAUCCAAAAGUUAGAAGAAAUAAGAGAGAAAGGCAGGAAUCCAAUUACCCAAAAAUCUCCCAUGUUCUCACUAUUUUCAGAUACUGAUGAAGAUCUCCAAGAUGAAGCUUACAAUCUCUACAGACGAGGUCUGAAAUAUGUGUUUUCUGUGAAAGAAAAGCCUCGUUUCUCAUGGGAAGGUCUUCUGGUGUUCUUUCUUGGCGUUUUAAAGAUUGUUGGAGGAGCACUGCUCACUGUAUUUACAUUUGGCACAUUUGCUCUAGUUGGAAUGGGACUCAUUACUGAGGGAAUAUCAGACUGCAUCACUGGCAUUGAGGCCAUGAGGACAGGAGAAUUCAGCUGGAAGUCAUGGGCUAUAGACAAAGCCAUUUCUAUUGGUGUCUCUCUCAUUGGGUUCGGAGUUGGAAAGCUGAUAUCAAAGGGCUUCAAAUGUUUUAAAACCUUACUUAAAUUUGGCAAACAGCUUAAGUCAAUGCCAAAAUUUCUCUCUAGACAAGCUAAAGAUGGCCUCAGUGUUGUUUUAAAGGCAAAUAUGAAGAAUGCCGUAAAAUACACAGCUAAACAAAUUGCAGAAGAACUCAUCACCUUUGGACUGGGAAAGAUAGAAGAUAAAAUACUUGAAAAAAUAUUAGAAGGAAUCAAAAGCAUAGUGAAAGAGACAACUGAUCACGAAGUGAAAUUAAAAAUAGAAAAAGAGCCUCCAUCUUCAUUAGUAGACUUCAUUAUUCUUUCACAACUUGAGGACAAAAAACAACUUCAUGACCUAAACAACGAGAGAAGAAAGAAAAAGCUGCUGGCCGUUUUCACAGAGUUAAGCAAAACUGCAAUACAGCCAUUCUAUGCAGACCUCAGCUGGCAGAACAAACUGAAUUCAUCCCUCUUCACAGUGAUUGAAAAAGCUAAAUCACACACUGGAGGAAAAGCAAAAGCAAUUCUGAUAGGUAUACAAAGUGUCCACAUUGGCACACUGGCAGGAGAAGCCAUCAGUGCAGUGGACAGCCUGUCAGACAAGUUCUUUUCAAAUUUUCAUGAACAGCUGAAAAUAUUUAAAGAAAAGCAACAAAAAUCAGAGACUGUGAAUAUAAGUGAUCUGUCUGCAGAAGACAUUAAACUGUUGAAAGAUUUCAAGCAGGAUUUAGCCGGCACCAUCAGUACUUUAUUGGCUGAUGCUUUGGUAGAAGUUUUCCACCAAAAGGUCUCCAGUCACAUUUUUUCUAUUGUUAAAGGCCAGGCAAAUGGUGUUAUUGGUAAAUAUGUGAGAAAGGGUUUAAAGAGUGACAGAACAGAGGAAAAGCUCAGAGCUGGACAGAACAACAGAUACAUUGCAUACAUGCCAAGAAAACUGAAUUCUAAACACAAAGUUGAAGGAGAGGCAGGUCAACACUCACAAUCACAUGCUGAAAACAUCAAGAACUCCACGACUGCAGGCAACAUCCUUGAUAUCAGAGUCCUGUCAGAAGCCACUGGCACUAAAGUUGUCAUCCUAACAGAGGACAGCAAUGGAAGACUUACCAAAAUGCAGGAGCUGAGCCCAGACACUCGACAUGCCAAUCAAACUGUGACCCUGAUCUACAGACCAAAGAGUGACCAAUACCCCAAUAGCCAUUAUGAUGUGCACAUCAAUAACCAGACAGUGAGCAUAGACAACAAAGGCAAGAGCUGUCUGUUUUAUGCUUUGGCACGUGGAAUGAAACCACAAGCCAGCAAAGAAGAGAUCACUUUGGAAGCAAAUCGUCUUCGAUCUGUGGAGGCCGAUACUCUCCUCAGACACCCAGGCCAAUGGGAGCCUUUCAUCAAGCGGAAAGAAUUAACUGAAACAAUCAGGGGAGGGGACUGGUACAUGUUAGAGGGAGCUGGAGCCAGAAAAGUCAUAAAAGAAAGCAAAAAGUUACGCCAGGAAGAAGUUGGAAAAGUAAAAAAAUACAAAGAUUGGCAAACAUAUGCAAAAGAAAAUAAAGGAAUUGGAAAGUUCAUCAAUGCAGAUCACCAGCCACCAGUCAGUAGUAUAUUGAAGGCCCAUGAACAGAACCAGAAUAGCAGAUUAGCAAAGGCCAUGCUUGAACUGGCAACAAACUCAUCUACUGGGAACAUUUCUGAUGUGCACAAAUAUCAUGGCCGUGAACUUCCAACAGUUUAUGUGCCUGCAGAAGUACAUCGUGAAUUUCCCAGUACAAAAUCACCAGCCUUCAGAGACCUUUUGACUAAAACCAUAAGUAAUGAUGAUGUUGUGGGUACUUUCAAGCUGACGAUCCUUGGUUCAAUGCCAAGAUUCUGGUUGGAUAGUAGCAGGAACUUCAAAAACUUUCAGAAUACAAAUAUAAGCAAAAGCAGACUUAAAGAUUUUGAAAACAGUUUUCCACACCACAGUGAAAAGAUGGUAAAUAAAUGGUGUGACCAGCUUAAAAACAAAGGUGUUAUGACAGAUGACCAUCUAACUACUAUUAAUAAUUGGAUCGCUAACCAGGGCUACAAAGAUCAAAAUGAUCCACACAGGAAAGAAGUUGCCAACCUCCUCUGAUGAAAAGUUUGCAAGAGAAGAGAAUGUGACUCUUACAAGCAAAUGAAGUACAGUGAAAACCUGGAGAUCUUCCACCUGCCUAAUCAUCAUUAUCAGAUAUCUCUGUGCCUUUGGUUUAAUUUUAACUUAAUUUUUGUACUUAUCACAGAAAAAAAAAGAAAGUCCUAACUGCUUGUUGAGCCAUUAUAGCUUAAUGUAGAUUGCAAACUUAGGACAGGUUUUGUGUUUUGUUUUGUUUUUUAUUUUGUUUUUUGUUGCGCACAAAGAGCUUACUAAAAUGAUGCAACAAAGUAUUUCUUGUAGUACAUUACUAAUCACUCUGAAAGGCUUCUAAAUCAUCCACAAAGUACCUGAGUGCCCUCCAGUGUUCAAGAGACAAACUACACAUGUGUCAUAUUAAGAUUUAGCAACUUGAUUUUCUUUUUUGUUGGUUGGAGCACAAGGUGACAGCUGGAGUGAUUCUGCAGAGCCUGACUGUGAAAGGAGCUCUGGAAAUAAAGAAACUGCUUGAGAUGAAUCACAGAAGCUACAGGAAAAAAAAACCUGCAUGUAGUUCUCUGUCAGCAGCAUCCCAUUCGUUAUCUUGCAAACGGUGUAUAAUUUUUGUUUAAUUCAGUGUAACUAUGAUGGUGUUAGUGAGGGGGGGUUAACAGUGAAAUUAUAAAAUAUAUUAUUUCUAUGGAAAUGUUUUUACACAAUAGUGGACAAUAAAACUGCAGGGAAAUGUACCAAUAUGAUAUUACAUACUUUAAAAGUUUAUCUAAAUGUAUUUAAAACAUACUGGUGAAAACGGCCUAUAAACAUAAUUGGCCACUGUUAUGAACAUUCUGAAAUAAAUAGAAUUACACACAA